rnacentral:tRNA from 2 species
GCGGGUGUAGUUUAGUGGUAAAACUACAGCUUUCCAAGCUGUUGUCGCGAGUUCGAUUCUCGUCACCCGCU